CAACCACACUUAAGUUGCAGCCCUAAGCAUGUGCUGUGAGGAUCAUUGUGGCCCCCGGAGCUUCCAAAGUUGAGAAGCUCUAGUUUAUAAGAGAGAUUGGGAAAUCCCUGUCCUUGGUGGUUUCUAAGGAUAUGUUAGACCAGAGCUAAACUGCCCUUCUAACUAGAACAUUUUUAUUAAUAUCUAGCCUGUCUCCCCAGCUGUUUUCCCUUUACUCUUGACUGUCACUGUCUAAUGAUGUUGAUUUAUUUAGGAAUUCUAAGAUAAUUCAAAUAUAUUUCUCUGUGCUUGUCCUAACACGAGACAAGAUCCUUCAUCUCAGCUUUUCCUACCAGCACUUCCUCUGAGAUGGUUUACAGGACAACUCAGGUGACUGGCUAAGACCAAAACCAUCCUCUCUUCUCCCAUUCUGUAACUGGCACCACUGCUAUUCUGCAAGACUUGUAAUUCGGCAAUCAUCUGCAAUUCUUCCCUCUUGCACUUCUCAUAUCCAGGCCAUAUGCAAAUCAUAUUGCUUUUUGUCUUUUACAUGAUUUUAAAAGUUCAUCUGUCUUUUUCUUCCUGUUCCAUAAGUGAAAAUAUUUAUUCAGUCUGGUGAUCUCACAUCUUAGUUGCAACCUGCUUCUCUCUGACCUUGCUGAAAUUCAUGUGGUCCCACAACCAAAAAUUUUUUUAUUUGUUUGUUGUAAAGUGCCACGUACAUUAUAGCUAACUAGAUGAGGAGACAGUUGAAGUUUUCACCAGGUUUAAAAAUUUAUCAAAUGGCUAACACACAUAGUGGUGUAUAUUGUGACAAAUUAACAAAUAUUCCCUCUCUCCUCCCCUCCCAACCUUGUGGUAACAUUAAAAAAAGCCAAUGCGACUGCUGCAGAAGCAGUGUUUGGUUUUAUACCAAAUGGGUUUGUUCAUUAAGUUUUUUAUGUUCUUUUAUGUUUAAUGCAAUGAAGUUUAAUGUGGAUAACUUUAAUAAAACUGUACUCUAUACAGGUCAAAAGCCAUAAAGGUGGGUGAGAUUGGGAUAUUACUCAGAGCAAUAUAAACAGGAAAUUAAAACAGUUAACUGAAACUACAUGUAAAGAGGUGUUCUCAAUUUAGCCCUGGUUUUUUUACCUAAUUUUAAAUUGUCUAAUCUAGACACUGGCCUCUAAAGGUAUGGAUUUAGUUUUUUAUUUAUUAGCAAUUAAUAAAAAUGCAUUCUAAUAUUGUCAGUACAUGCAAGUCACUAUUAGUCUGUGUAUUCAGUCAAUAAAUGAAACUUAAAAUGUUCCUUCUUUGAUAAUAUGCAAAUAUCUCUGCGAUUCUAAAACAGUGCAUUUUAUUCAACUGUAUAUCAAAGUAGUAUUGUUGGAACAAGUGCUGUACUUGCACUCUAGUCCUGCAAAUACUUAUGCAUGUGCACAAUUCAUGCAUGUGAUUAUUCCUAUUAAUGUUCCACAAUUUACUAGUGGUUCUAUACAGAAGGAAUACUGACUGCUUACAUGACAAUCACACUUAAAAUAUUCAUCUGUAUAUCUGAGAAAUUAUGCAUGCGCAUAAGUAUUAGUAAGAUCAGGGCCCUAUUUUUUGUUUAUGUACAAAGGUAACUUAAUGAAUAAAUCCAAAUCAAGAAGUGUCCUCAUUUGUUAAUGUUAAGUUGAAGUUGAUAGGAAAAAUUGAGUGUGGUAAUAUUUGAGAAGAGACAUGAGCCGUUAAAGACUGGCAUGCUACAUUAUGGCAUGAGGGAGCAGAUUUAAGUUUGAGGACAUCUUAAUUUUGGCUGAGUUCCUGACUGAGUUCUUAACUAUGCAACUUUAUGUAGUUUCCAGAAUUUUCAAAAGAAAAAGGAUGGGGAAUGGUGGUUGUAUAAUUUGGCAAUAUUAGGUGCCACCACAAUUAUCUAUUCAGCAGAAAAUGCACUAUCCUGUGGAGCAGUGUUUUUGGUUCCAUGAGAUCUUCAUGACAGUUUAGGAAGGCAGCAAGUUGGUCCCUGGUAUCAGAAAAGUUAAGAGAAACUGCUGUAGAGCUAUUAACACUUAUGGACCACUGUCACAUUGAAUGUAUAUCUUAAACAUGCAUAUCCUCUACUAAUGUAUGUAGGUGUUGCCUUUGUUUCUUUAGAACACCAUGUAAAAGGGCUAAACGUGUAUCAAAGUAUUGACUGUGAAUAAAGUAAUUCUCUUUCAAACCCUGGCUAGACAGCAACAAGCAGAACUGGCCCAACAGGAAUGGCUACAGAUGCAACAAGCAGCCCAACAAGCACAACUUGCUGCUGCGUCAGCCAGUGCAUCCAAUCAGGCAGGGUCCUCUCAGGAUGAAGAUGAUGAAGAUGAUAUCUGAAAUUCACCAACUGAGUUUCUAUUUCUACUGAGAAAUAUCUUUCCUGCACAAUGAAAACAGUGAAAUGAAUGCUUACCUGUAAUUUUGUAUGCAUCUUGGACUGGCCAUUGGUAUUCUAGGGAUGUCUGCUGUUGUGAGUUGUCCAUGUAAAAAAAUGUUUUUGAACUCUUAAGAGAUUAAGGUUCAAUAUCAUAUCAACUUUGGAUUUUUAAUGGUGUAUAUGGAAAUUUUAGAUAGCAGUGCGUCAUUUAUUUGAUCAAUAACAGUGUUAAAAUAAACAAGUUUAUAAAAUAGUGAGAUUUAUACAGAAGCUCUAAAUCCAUAUUUGCAUUUCUCUUCCCUUUUAACUAAACUAUAAAAUCUUACAUAGAUAAUUUUUAAUUGUUUUUUUGGGGGUGGGAGUGGUUCAGUAGACACUUAAAUAUGUAAUGAAAAAAGCAAAGAGGUCAGCACAGUAAAGUCUGAAAUCUUUGUCUUUUUUAAAAUGAGGAUAUAUAUAUAUGGCAAUAAAUAUUAUAUGUGCUCAAAUACCACAUUUAUUACAAAUUUGAAAGGAUAAUUUUCACUAAGCUAGGAAUAGGUAUGUUUAAUAGGACCUGUAGAAAUUCUGUCAUUUUUUGUAUAGGGGGUGAAAAAAUAAACCCAUGAUUUUAUUAUGACAUAUGUGAAGAGUCCUGAACCAAAUGGAUAUUUCAUUUCAAAGACUGCCCAGUGUAGAGCGCUAAUAAUUCUUAUUCUUUCACUCCAAUUUAAUGUUAACUGUUGUUGAUGGUAUUGCGUAGUUCAGACAUGUUCAUAUUGUUCAAAUGUAAAGCUGGAACUUGGUGAAACAGAAUUGUGUUGGUUCCAUUGACUUAACUGGGAAUUAUUAAAUGUUCAAGCCUAAAAAGGCACAAGUUGAAGCUAAUGAACAUGCUUUCAGUAAAAGAGGGAUUUUUAUUUAACCCUGAUUAGUUGUCAGCAUAAUGUUAACGUUUUCCAGACUAGUUUACCAAUGAAUUCCUCAGCUACCUUGUGAAACAAUAACAUUCAAACAGAUUAGUAGGUACAAAGGAUUCUGUCCAAUUUAGUUAGGAAAGGAUGCCCUAUGAGUAAUCAGCACCAUAUGGAUCAGGAAAGAGAAAAGUCUUUUUGUGAGGUUGACUUUGAAAAUUCUGUUUAUAUAAAUGGAUGGGCAGCUGUUCUUUGUUAGAGCACAGUUGUAUCCAUUAUAGAAUUUUAAUGUUUAAAGAAGAAAUUUUGGCCUUUAUUCGAGUACUCUUGUUUCCAACAGAAUGGAAAAGCCACUUGUAUACUAGUACAGAUGGUCUGAUUAAAUAGCUGUGUAAGAAUGCAUUCUUUUCUUUAAAACAAAAAAAAACUUCUUAGUGUGAUCUUGACAAGUUUCUCUGGUGAAAUAUUUUUGAAUAAGAGCUGUGGGUGCACCAAUCUGUUUACAUAGUGAAGUAAACAGAAAACAGUGUGCCUAUGUUAAGUAGAGAUAUGACCAAGGUACAGUUGGCAUAUAUUCAGCUCAACGAUUGCCCAGGGCCUUUUGAUUUCAAUCUUAGAAGCGUGAGGUUAAGUAUCUAAUACACUUGCACAUUUUCUAAAUGCAUCUGUGCAGUGAUGGUUGAAAGUAAAAAUUAAUUUGACUGUUAAGUUGAAAAUUUUCAUGAAAUAUGUUGGACAAGAUUUGACUAAGUGGUUUUCUGUUAACACUUACGUACCAAAGGUAGUAAAUCUAGUCUAGUGAAACAAUGUUAAUGUGCAGUGUUGGCUUUUCUAAUUUGUAUUAUAACACCUUACACUUUCUAUUUUAAUGAGUCGUUUUUCUUUUAAGUAAACAAAAUUAGGUAUUUCACACUUGUUUUUUCUGAUGCAGAAUUCAGGUUAACAUUUUACUGCAUCUGGUAUGUAUGGGAUAGGAUGUUUGGUUCCUUGUGACCUUUUCUUUGGACGUUCUUGUGCUUUUUUUUUUCUUAUGCUGUAUUCUUCAAGCAAUAAAAUUCUGAUGUGUUUUUAUAA